UACGGAGGGUGCGAGCGUUGUCCGGAAUCACUGGGCGUAAAGGGCGCGUAGGUGGCGCGGGCAGUCAACGGUGAAAGUUCGGGGCUCAACCCUGAAUCGGCCGUCGAUACUCCCGGGCUUGAGCACUGUAGAGGCAGAUGGAAUUCCGGGUGUAGCGGUGGAAUGCGUAGAGAUCCGGAAGAACACCAGUGGCGAAGGCGGCCCGCUGGGCAGUGGCUGACGCUGAGGCGCGACAGCGUGGGGAGCAAACAGG
rnacentral:rRNA from 1 species